rnacentral:rRNA from 1 species
GGACUACUGGGGUUUCUAAUCCUGUUUGCUCCCCAUGCUUUCGAGUCUCAGCGUCAGUUGUCAGCCAGAAAGCCGCCUUCGCCACUGGUGUUCCUCCCGAUCUCUACGAAUUUCACCUCUACACCGGGAAUUCCGCUUUCCUCUCCGACACUCAAGCUCUCCAGUUUUCCCUGCUCUUUGUCAGGCUAAGCCCGCAGAUUUCACAGGAAACUUAAAAAGCCGCCUACACUCCCUUUACGCCCAAUAAUUCCGAACAACGCUUGCACCCUCUGUAUUACCGCGGCUGCUGGCAC